rnacentral:rRNA from 1 species
CCUACGGGAGGCAGCAGUAGGGAAUAUUGCUCAAUGGGGGAAACCCUGAAGCAGCAACGCCGCGUGGAGGAUGAAGAUUUUCGGAUUGUAAACUCCUUUUGUUAGAGAAGAUAAUGACGGUAUCUAACGAAUAAGCACCGGCUAACUCCGUGCCAGCAGCCGCGGUAAUACGGAGGGUGCAAGCGUUACUCGGAAUCACUGGGCGUAAAGAGCGCGUAGGCGGGAUAGCAAGUCAGAUGUGAAAUCCUAUGGCUUAACCAUAGAACUGCAUUUGAAACUGGUAUUCUAGAGUAUGGGAGAGGUAGGUGGAAUGCUUGGUGUAGGGGUAAAAUCCGUAGAGAUCAAGAGGAAUACUCAUUGCGAAGGCGACCUGCUGGAACAUUACUGACGCUGAUGCACGAAAGCGUGGGGAGCAAACAGGAUUAGAUACCCCUGUAGUC